CGUUCUUUAUUUUUUACUUCAAACACGUUAUCAACACUUCGCUCUACGUUGAGACCAAAAGGUCAUCCAAAACGGCAGAACAUCAGCAUUGCUUGCCUAGAGGAUCAAGCGCAUCGUUGUCAUUAUGGAUGGAUACAAAUUGAUCCAUUGCUUUUUACCGGUCUUAGUGCUCCACCCCUUGACGCGGACGUACAUGCAUCAGCGACGAUGAACUUGGAUGACGCACGACGUGGC
rnacentral:lncRNA from 1 species